GUCCAUCAGGUUCACACACUGUAUUUGUUCGAAGUAAUUAUGUGGAAACCUACAAACCUGAUUUUGUUUUCGAAUCUGAUAAGAAUCCAGCUAUGGAGUUUCCCACCGUCUCAAACGUGUACACUCGCUAUUGUGAGAUAAAUCUCUUGCAACGUCAAGGCUGUGUGCGUCAACAAUGGAGUACGGGAAGCAUGCCUGCUAUUCUUAAAACCCAGAGAUGCUUGAUUGGUGAAGAAUUUGUCAGCAUCUUGCAACAAUGUGUUGUCGCACCUGUAAAACAGAGGAGCGAU
rnacentral:lncRNA from 1 species